CCGAGAAUCUGCAGGACUGAGACAGAGUGAGCACUGACCAGAAGGCGGCUGCUGAGGCAUCUCUGAUAGAUACCUGACUACACCGCAUGGCACAAACGGGACAGUUUCUGCGCAACCAUCCGCAGCUUUGGAGCGGACCAUAAAUAAAAACCGGAGAGUGAUUUCCAUAGUUCUGCCAGCUCAGACCCACCAAAGGUGGAUUACCAAGAGGCCGAACCAAAGCAUCUUGAACAAGAGUGAUUUUUCUCCUUCCUUCUCGCUCCUUCAGAAGACAUCAGCUGAAACACAUGAUACAGUAAGUAGCAGACACUGCUGGAUGCUUGGGAGGGCAGCAGGUGUUAAGAACACUAACCCUGUGUCUUUGUUGGUUCUCAGCCGUCAUAGCAGAAUCCUGGAACUGCGUAAUCUGUGAAGGAGUUUGUGUGAGUGACAUUUCAGCAAAGGAGAGAAGUUCAAGACUGGGUUGCCACAUCCAGUGAGGGUCUUGUGCUAAGUCAACUCGUGACAAAACACAGAAGGGCAAUCUGGCAUGGGUGGGAGAGAGAAAUGGGGGCCUAACAAGAAGAGCUAAGCCAUUCUCACAGGAAAAUCAGUCAUUUCCAAGGGCUCUGCCUCAUUAUCCAAACCCCUCCUAGGAGACCCCCAUGUCUCAGACUCUUUGGUCUGAUCUUGGGACCUUUUUCCUCCUCCUGUGUUGCCUUGUCCAGCACUGGUAUGAGGAUUUGUGUCGCGUCUUAUUGCAUCUUGUUGGAUCAUGUUCAGUGGAUAUCACUGGGAGGCUUGCUCUUUUCUGACGGGAAAUGAAAAAGCAAUAGAGCCAGGGAAAAGGGAAGGUGUGGAGGACCCAGGAGGAGUGGAGGAAGGGAAAGCUUCUGUGGGGAUGCAUUGUAUGAGAGAAGAAUGAAUGAAUGAAUGAAUGAAUGAAUGAAUGAAUGUCACCUUAAGGACCAACACUUACACAGGAGUUUUGAUGGAAACAAAUUGAAUUCAAACCCUAACACCUUAUUGUUGAGAUCUUUAUAGUCCUGCUAUAGAUGAACAACAGCCAAGUCCAGGCAAUUGUGGUGCGUGAUCAACUACAUCCAGGAUACAGAGCUGAGUACCCGUUUUGUGACAGGCACCUGUACCAUUGUAAAAUGAACUGAAAACACUGACUGAGAGACUGUAGGACAUCCAUGAGGAACUCUCCUGGAGACCGCUGACUCUGUGAGUCCCGAGGUCUGGAUGGAAGUAGACGAGAGGCUGAAGUCAGUAGAACGUCAGUGAUAAUGAAACCUCUGCCUGAAAUACCCGGGGACUAGAUCAGGGAAGGCAGUGUUCCUCUGCAAGAAUGCUAAGGCACAUGAAAGGAAGACUGUCCUUCAAAUGUGAAGAAGAGCCAGAAAGAAAGAGGAAAUCAAAACCUCAAGGUUUCUAGGAAUGGGGGGAAGGGAGGGAAUAAGCUAUGCCAAGCGCUUAAGGUAAGUCUGAGCUGCAUGUUGAUAAGUGUUUCUAACAUCUUUUUUUAUUGGAGUCUUGGGCUUUUGUUUUUAAGAUAAAUUUAAUUAGUAUGUGCUCACUAAAGUAUGUUUGUCAUAGCAAGGGAUUGUUUAUGUUACAAAUUUGAAUUUCUCAUAGUUGUGGAUCUCAGAUGUGCAAAUUGGAAAUACUUUUUGCUAACUGAAAAUUAAAAUCUUGUCCCAUUUCUGAUAACAGAUUCAAACUUGCCCUUGUGCAUGGAAUUCAGCUCCUCUUCUUCAAAACACACGUUUCUGGCUGGGGGAAGCAUAGCCAAAUCCAAAGUCAAUUCAUCCUACACUGUCUCACCUUCUAUGUGGAUGUUCCGGGCGCUCCAGAUGCCAGUGUAUUGUCCUCACGUGAGAUCAAUGUUCUGAUUGAACUCUGCUAGGUACAGCUCAUUCCUCCAGGCCUUGAGGGACAACUUCCGUUAUCACCGAGCCUACCAUACACAUUAGAGGUCCUAUCACAAUCUCUAGUUGUUUGUAGAAAUAAACUGAGUUGUUGCUGCUCUUUUUCUCAUA